GUUUGUGGGUGGGUGUGGGGGAGUGUCUUUUGUCUGGCGAAAAAAAUUUCCCUGGAACCUAACUCCCCCUAUUUACACUAAUUCUUAUGGUGAAAUUGGAUUCACUUAACAUCAUUUCACUUAAAGCAGCAUUUUUCAGGAACGUAACUACAACGUUAAGCGAGG